GGGCGCAGCCUGAGGACACGCCGCGUGGGGAGGCCCUUUCGGGGUGUAAACCGCUGUUCGUGGGGACGAAGCACUGACGGUACCCACGGAGGAGGCCCGGCUAACUACGUGCCAGCAGCCGCGGUAAUACGUAGGGGCCGAGCGUUGUCCGGAGUUACUGGGCGUAAAGCGUGCGCAGGCGGCGCGUUCUGCCCGGCGUGAAAGCCCCCCGGCUCAACCGGGGAGGGUCGUCGGGGACGGGCUGCUUGAGGGUAUCAGGGGCUGGUGGAAUUCCGGUGUAGUGGUGAAAUGCGUAGAGAUCGGGAGGAACACCUGUGGCGAAGGCGCCAGCUGGAUACACCUGACGCUGAGGAGCAA
rnacentral:rRNA from 1 species